rnacentral:rRNA from 1 species
AUGUUUUUUUUGCAUGAAGGUCAUUGCUACAGAUGUCAAAUAAAUUUACCAUAUGUAUGUACUAUAGUCUGCUCUUGCAAUCAUCUGCCAGAGUUAGGAAACAUCUGCGCCCUCAACGCCAUGUGGAACAUGUUUAAUUCCUCUCUCUGUAUGAGGUUCUCCCUGAUUCCUCAAUUUCCAAUUCUCCUGCAGCAUGUUGUUUUUUUGCUGAUAGAUUAUUACCAUGAACUUGACAUCUUUAUCAUUUUUAACUUGCUUUCAUUUGUAUUUUCACGUGAGUCAAUGCUCAUAUUACGAAUCCCAUCUCCAGCCUGCAUACUAAGUUAA